rnacentral:rRNA from 1 species
GAUGAACGCUGGCGGCGUGCCUAAUACAUGCAAGUCGAGCGAACAGACGAGGAGCUUGCUCCGUUGACGUUAGCGGCGGACGGGUGAGUAACACGUAUGUAACCUACCUAUAAGACUGGGAUAACUUCGGGAAACCGGAGCUAAUACCGGAUAAUAUUUCGAACCGCAUGGUUCGAUAGUGAAAGAUGGCUUUGCUAGCAGGUAUAGAUGGACCUUCGCCGUAUUAGCUAGUUGGUAAGGUAACGGCUUACCAAGGCAACGAUACGUAGCAGCACUGAGAGGGUGAUCGGCCACCCUGGAACUGUGACCCGGUCCAGACUCCUACGGGAGCCGCCCGUACGGAAUCGUCCGCAAUGGGCGAAAGCCUGACGGCGCAACGCCGCGUGAGUGAUGAAGGUCUUCGGAUCGUAAAACUCUGUUAUUAGGGAAGAACACGCGUGUACGUAACUGUGCACGUCUCGACGGUACCUAAUCAAAGAGCCACGGCUAACUACGUG